CCUCCCGUAAGGGACAUCAGUACAGGUGGUGCAUGGCUGUCGUCAGCUCGUGUCGUGAGAUGUUGGGUUAAGUCCCGCAACGAGCGCAACCCUUAUCUUAGUGUUUCCCUUUGGGGAUUAACCCUCUAAGAAGACUGCCUCGGAUAACGGGGAGGAAGGUGGGGAUGACGUCAAGUCCGCAUGCUCCUUACGUCUAGGGCUACACACGUCCUACAAUGGGGUCGACAAUGGGAUGCAAUAUCGCAAGAUGGAGCCAAUCCCCAAACGGCCUCUCAGUUCGGAUUGUAGUCUGCAACUCGACUACAUGAAGUUGGAAUCGCUAGUAAUGGCAGAUCAGCAUGCUGCCGUGAAUACGUUCCCGGGUCUU
rnacentral:rRNA from 1 species